rnacentral:piRNA from 2 species
UGGCUUGACUAUUCUGGUCUUCAUUCC